rnacentral:rRNA from 1 species
AGAUUAGCUAGUUGGUGGGGUAAAGGCCUACCAAGGCUACGAUCUGUAGCGGGUCUGAGGGGAUGAUCCGCCACACUGGAACUGAGACACGGUCCAGACUCCUACGGGAGGCAGCAGUGGGGAAUUUUGGACAAUGGGGGCAACCCUGAUCCAGCCAUGCCGCGUGAGUGAAGAAGGCCUUCGGGUUGUAAAGCUCUUUCGGCCGGGAAGAAAUCGCAUAGGCUAAUACCCUGUGUGGAUGACGGUACCGGAAUAAGAAGCACCGGCUAACUACGUGCCAGCAGCCGCGGUAAUACGUAGGGUGCGAGCGUUAAUCGGAAUUACUGGGCGUAAAGCGUGCGCAGGCGGUUUAGUAAGACAGGCGUGAAAUCCCCGGGCUCAACCUGGGAACUGCGCUUGUGACUGCUAAGCUAGAGUACGGCAGAGGGGGGUGGAAUUCCACGUGUAGCAGUGAAAUGCGUAGAGAUGUGGAGGAACACCGAUGGCGAAGGCAGCCCCCUGGGCCGAUACUGACGCUCAUGCACGAAAGCGUGGGUAGCAAACAGGAUUAGAUACCCUGGUAGUCCACGCCCUAAACGAUGUCAACUAGGUGUUGGGAGGGUAAAACCUUUUAGUACCGGAGCUAACGCGUGAAGUUGACCGCCUGGGGAGUACGGCCGCAAGGUUAAAACUCAAAGGAAUUGACGGGGACCCGCACAAGCGGUGGAUGAUGUGGAUUAAUUCGAUGCAACGCGAAAAACCUUACCUACCCUUGACAUGUCCAGAAGCUCUUAGAGAUUUGAGUGUGCCCGAAAGGGAGCUGGAACACAGGUGCUGCAUGGCUGUCGUCAGCUCGUGUCGUGAGAUGUUGGGUUAAGUCCCGCAACGAGCGCAACCCUUGUCGUUAAUUGCCAUCAUUUAGUUGGGCACUUUAACGAGACUGCCGGUGACAAACCGGAGGAAGGUGGGGAUGACGUCAAGUCCUCAUGGCCCUUAUGGGUAGGGCUUCACACGUCAUACAAUGGUCGGUACAGAGGGUUGCCAAGCCGCGAGGUGGAGCCAAUCCCAGAAAGCCGAUCGUAGUCCGGAUUGCAGGCCGCAACUCGCCUGCAUGAAGUCGGAAUCGCUAGUAAUCGCGGAUCAGCAUGUCGCGGUGAAUACGUUCCCGGGUCUUGUACACACCGCCCGUCACACCAUGGGAGCGGGUUCCGCCAGAAGUAGGUAGCCUAACCGCAAGGGGGGCGCUUACCACGGCGGGGUUCGUGACUGGGGUGAAGUCGGAACAAGGUAGCCGUAGGGGUACCUGCGGCUG